CCUACGGGAGGCAGCAGUGGGGAAUAUUGGACAAUGGGCGCAAGCCUGAUCCAGCAAUACCGCGUGGGUGAUGAAGGUCUUCGGAUUGUAAAGCCCUUUUAGUAGAGAAGAUAAUGACGGUAUCUACAGAAAAAGCACCGGCAAACUUCGUGCCAGCAGCCGCGGUAAUACGAAGGGUGCUAGCGUUGUUCGGAAUCACUGGGCGUAAAGGGUACGUAGGCGGUUUGGUAAGUCGAUUGUGAAAGCCCCAGGCUCAACCUGGGAACUGCAAUCGAAACUACUUUACUUGAGUUUGGUAGGGGAUGGUGGAAUUCCUAGUGUAGGGGUGAAAUCCGUAGAGAUUAGGAAGAACACCAGUGGCGAAGGCGACCAUCUAUGCCAAUACUGACGCUGAGGUACGAAAGCGUGGGGAGCAAACAGGAUUAGAUACCCUGGUAGUCCACGCCCUAAACGAUGAAUGCUAGUUGUCGGGGCCUUAGGCUUCGGCGCGAAGUUAACACGANAGACAUCGUCGUCGGGAGGUACGGUCGCGAGACUAAACUACAAGAAGUAGACGACGUGAGACGNGCGAACGGACGACGACGAGGGAGUUAGG
rnacentral:rRNA from 1 species